GAAUUCAGAGAGCAGAAAAGCUUCUGAUUCCAUCCCUUGUCAAUUCCACUAAAACUUUAAAGCAGCAUCCAGACCAUAGCUGCAUGGUAGAUGAUCUGUCUCUGCAGAAGGAUGAAGAAACACAGAGCUAUUAGUGAAGAAGGACUUUCCUCAAGCAGUCUUCCACACUAAAAAAGGUGCUCUCACGCUAGCAGGAAUGAUUCUGUACAAAGAAAUGAGCUGUAGGAAUGGAAAAAAAAAAACAAACCUGUGAAGAGGUGGAGCCUGUGUAGUAAGGGUAAUGAAGACGCUACGGACGAAGAACACAAUACCUUGUUGUGUCUUGGUGCACCUGGUAUUUAUGUCAGUAAUUCUCAUUAGGUUAAUGUGAAUAACAGUCACAAAUCCCCUGUGGGAUGAGAAGAGAACAGAUUCGUUAAUGUUUCCAUGAGGAAUACUUUGAAACCUUCAUAAAACAUUCAUAUUUGAUGGAAAGGAAAACCUACUUUAAUAAAACAUGUACAGUUGUCACACAAUGCAAUUGGUACCAUAUGAUUGGUAUUUUAUCUAUUUGGGUAUCAUCUAUAACAUACUUGUAUUGCUAAUAUAUAUUAUAAGGCCAAGAUCACUUUGUUUCUUAUUAGUGGUUUGUUUAUCAAACAUUAACAGUUUACUAUAACCUUGAAAUGAAGCGUAUUAACUAAAUAAGCCAGAAUUAACCCUAGUUUUACAGAACAGCUUCUUUUUUUUUUUUUUUUUUUCUCUUUAAGAUCCCAUUUCUAAACUUGAAAAGCAGAUAUCUGCACCAGAAAACAGCUGAAUUUUAGAUGUUUGUUAUUUAGGGUUUAUUUUCUCGUAUUAGCAGAAAGUUGAAGUGAUUAAUUUCAUCUUCAAAAUGUCUGCUGCUUCCAGAAUGCAACCAAGAACAUUUUGCUCAUUAUGAUGUACCCAUAAUGUCCUUUGACUACAGAAUACCACAGAAUGUCCAUAAAACAAGGCACACAGCUACUGAAAACACUCAGGGUUGCACAUACACAGGAUCUUUCCAGGAAGGUUCUUUCUGCCUUGUGUCAACCACCUGCCAUUUCUGGAAGGAAAAAGCACCAGGGAGGCAGCCCCAGAGGAUGCUUUGAGCUGCUGCUGCCCCUCCUGCAGCAGCCAUGGCCCAAGGACAACUGCGAUAAUGCUCCUCCAGCCAGGAGGCAGCCAGAUUCGUCACUCAGCUAA
rnacentral:lncRNA from 1 species